GAAUCUGCAUCUGUCUAUCUGACAUGUCAUCAUUGGCUGUGCUGCAGAAAUGGUCCUUGCCAAGAAUAUUUGUGGCUCGUCUGUGCUCCCGAAAGUCCCCGAGCCCCUUUCUCCCUCGCUAGCCAGUGACAUGCUAUAAAAGGAGAUUAGCUGGACAAGCCGUUGUCCCCCAGUUCCGACAUACUUGGCUCCCUGAGGUGGCAUGGCAGAAGAUGGCCGCCAUGGCAGGGAAGCACCUCUCCCCUCGUGCAUGCGGCCAGGACAAGAUGGCUGUGGGGCCGGAAGAGACAGCUCAAGUUCUGGUCCAUUUCAUGCACAAGAUGACUGCGCCCCAGGUCACGUUUCUCUGAGCACGCGGCAGCAAGUCAUCAGCAACAUGAGAGGGGAGAGACUGAAUAGGGAGGAAAUUCACUGUUGUAAUCAUCAUCCUCACUACGAUAUAGGCAUUUAUGUGAGUGGAAGGUCUGCUAAAGGUGACUGAAUUUUCUGUUUUCUGUGCUGGAAGCUUGCUCCUGUCAAGAUGUAUCUCUGGCCUCCAGAUCUUACAUAUUUUUCUGGGGCUUUAUGCAUGGCAUGAGAAAAGGCCAUGAAGAUUUAAAUGGGAGGGAAGUCAAAAGAGCAAGAGCACAGGAAGAAUGGAAAUCAGAAACCAGAGACUGGAAGGAGAAGAGCUGAAGAUGGGUUGGAGCAAGAAGGUGGAAAUGUGACAGCUGCAAUGAGCAUGUACAGAAAGUGUUGGACAGAGGGAAGAGCAGGAUCUCAGGAGAGAGAGAAGUAUGGGGCCAAAAAUGCUACAGGCCAUAGGAGACAGGGGUGUUGAGACCCCCUUGGGCAUAACUUGCUCUGGUACCUGCAGGUGACUGCAAAAUCUCAACUCUGUUCAUGCUUCUUUUAAACAACUGGGGCGAAACCUUACCACUGGGUUGAGACCCAACAGCUAUGGUGAAUCCUUUAUAUAAGGAGUGCAUCUCCUCCCUGGUGCUAGUUCACUCACAUUAAGAGGUUCUUGUUUAAGACGGGGUGCGUUGGCCUCGUCUGGCUGCGGCGCCACUACCAGCCCCUGAUGCUCCAUCUCCACCAUGGGAUGGGGGUGAAAACUGCAGGAAUAUGAACAAGGAAGCUCAUGGAUGGAGAUACAGGCAAGGAAAUGGUUUGCCAAUUGCUGUCACAGGCAGAAUAAACCCACCUUUGGGUAAUUUAUUACCAAUUAAUGUUUUUAAUUACUUAUUCAGAAACUGGGAAGCAGAGAGGGAAGAGACAAACACUAGAACACCCUUCCCUCUCCAUUGGUCUGAGUGUCCCUCUGCCCUUUCUCACUCCUUUUCUCCUCCCGUAUCCCUGCACUAAUGGUGUUCUCUGCCAUUUUGUCAAUCCCUGCUCCCUGAGGUGCUGCAGCAUGGCUGAUCUGGGCAGCAGCAUCGUGGCAUUUGUCCCUUAAAAAGCCAGCUGCAACCAGUGAGAACAGUCUGAAACAUCCACAUUGGGCUGGAACCAGCUGGAACUGGCAUGUGGGGCAAUGCUCGUGGCAGCCCCCACUGCACUGCUACUUGCAUGAAUCCAAGCAAGGGCAGCCUGGAGGCUGUAGGGCUUGGUGUGGGCCACAGAGGUGGCAAUUGAGGAGGGAGAGGUCAGGGGCUGAGUCCAGCAGGGUAGAGCACAGGAAAGCACCCCAAACUU